rnacentral:rRNA from 1 species
AGUGAACGCUGGCGGUAGGCCUAACACAUGCAAGUCGAACGGCAGCACAGUAAGAGCUUGCUCUUACGGGUGGCGAGUGGCGGACGGGUGAGGAAUACAUCGGAAUCUACUUUUUCGUGGGGGAUAACGUAGGGAAACUUACGCUAAUACCGCAUACGACCUACGGGUGAAAGCAGGGGAUCUUCGGACCUUGCGCGAUUGAAUGAGCCGAUGUCGGAUUAGCUAGUUGGCGGGGUAAAGGCCCACCAAGGCGACGAUCCGUAGCUGGUCUGAGAGGAUGAACAGCCACACUGGGACUGAGACACGGGCCAAACUCCGAAGGGGGGCAGGAGGUGGGAAUAUUGGGCAAAGGGCGGAAGCCCGAUCCAGCCAUACCGCGUGGGUGAAGAAGGCCUUCGGGUUGUAAAGCCCUUUUGUUGGGAAAGAAAAGCAGCAGGUUAAUACCCCGCUGUUCUGACGGUACCCAAAGAAUAAGCACCGGCUAACUUCGUG